GAUGCCUUUCAGCAGCUCACUGGUGAGCCGUCCUUUGCCAGACGGUCUAAUGAGGUUUAUGACAAACUACUGUGACACGGUUCCAAAUCCCUAAAGAGAAAAACUUGGAUCCAAAGGCACUCUUACCCACAAGCACGGAUCCAAUGUUGACCUUCUCCUGAUGGCACAACUUUCAUAAAUGGAAGGAGUUGGAUUUCCCUUUCUCGCUCUAGACUUGCACACGUCCUUAAAAUCUGCUACAGAGGAUUCAAAAGGGCAGCAGCAGGAAUGUGUUUGCUCUCCUGAAAAUGGAUUUCAGCUGUAUAUUAACAGAAUACACUGUCAUUUAUAUGUGGACGCCAACAGCCUCACCUUGACUGUAUCAAACAUUCAGAUAUGUUAAAUAUUGAUGAACUACUGCCAGUGGCCUUUGAAUGUUGUCAAGUGGAUAUUGGUCAAUCAUAUCUCAGUAUCAACAAAAUCAGACAUUUGGGAUGACUAGUGUGUAUAUGUGAAAUGUCAAAGUUCACAAACAUUUAUAGGUAAAUAACUCCAACAGACAAAUGUACUAAGGAUCUUCAUGUGGAGCUGAUAUAAAAAUAUUAGAAAUAUCUUCAAAGUUUUUUUUAAAAAAAAUCACAAUGAUGAACAUAGACAUGAGUUUUCCUAAAUCCAGGAAGCACUUUUAAAAUGUAAGUAUUUGUAAAAUUUAUAUGUAAUUGCAUUAUAAUAAAAUUGUCAAGCCAAGCUUCAGACAUAUUGUAGCAAUUCAGAUACAGUAAAAGUGCUUUAUUUGUUUUCUCUUACAGUGCUGACUGUAAUAAUAGCUAUAUCUAUACUUCCCAGCAGCUGCACUGUAGAUAAAUGUGUUCAUUCAUAUGCAGGUGGCUACUGCAAGACAAAUGCAGAGCAUUUGGAGAGAACGAGGGCAUUCUAUAGAUGUCAGUCACUGAUGCAAUCUGACUGUACCAUUUACAGAAUGUCUUCACUUCCCACUGACAUCAUUUUGCUUAGCAUUGUUUUUUUAUUCAUUAAGAAUACUACAAAGGAAAAUACUAAAUUAUUAUUACAAGCAAUCCUUUGUGGGGGGAUCAGAUUUUUUAUUCAGUUUAAUCAGUUUUCUAAAAUAUUGUAAAGAGCACUGUAUCAUUUUUUAAAAACUGAAAUUUGUCCUGAGGGUAUUUGCUGAGCAAAAAACAAAACAAAAAAAAAUAAAAAAACAAGAGCUCAACCAAGAUUUGCAAUCCAUGCUGACAGCAACAGAGAUGGACAAAAUCAUGAAAAUAUGUGAAUUAUCUGAGACGGACAAAUGGACAGUGUUGUUUAAAGAGAAAUCCUUGAAUAAAUUCAAGCAAGACUGGG